UACGGAGGGUGCAAGCGUUAAUCGGAAUUACUGGGCGUAAAGCGUGCGCAGGCGGUUUGUUAAGUCUGUUGUGAAAUCCCCGAGCUCAACUUGGGAAUUGCAAUGGAUACUGGCAGGCUGGAGUAUGGUAGAGGAAGGUGGAAUUCCCGGUGUAGCAGUGAAAUGCGUAGAGAUCGGGAGGAACACCGGUGGCGAAGGCGGGUCUCUGGGCAAUUCCUGACGCUGAGGCGCGAAAGCGUGGGGAGCAAACAGG
rnacentral:rRNA from 1 species